UACGUAGGGUGCAAGCGUUAAUCGGAAUUACUGGGCGUAAAGCGUGCGCAGGCGGUUCUAUAAGACAGAUGUGAAAUCCCCGGGCUUAACCUGGGAAUGGCAUUUGUGACUGCACGGCUAGAGUGUGUCAGAGGGGGGUAGAAUUCCAGGUGUAGCGGUGAAAUGCGUAGAUAUCUGGAGGAACACCGGUGGCGAAGGCGGCAUCCUGGACCAUUACUGACGCUGAGGAGCGAAAGCCAGGGGAGCAAACGGGG
rnacentral:rRNA from 1 species